UUAAAUUUCAGCCUGCCAUUCACUUUUCAGCCUUUAUGCUGGUCUGUUCAGUUGACUUCUGGUGGAUGGAAGCCCUCAGCUGACACAAGGCUAGGAUGCUGCCUCUGAACGCUCAGUGCUUUUCUCCCAGAGAGGAGCUCCUUCCAAGGACCACUGCUGAAUUCCUGGGUAGAAGCAGAAACCAUCAAAGGAUCUAGACACAUUUCCCACUAGCAGGCUCUAGCCCAUGGAAUGAAGGCGUCCUUGCCUCUACAGAAGAUACAGGAUGCUAAAAGAGCUCUGGAGAAGUCGUUGAUGUCAGCUGAAAGAAAAAAAAUAUGCAGAUGCUGUAAGCAGAAUUUAUGCUGCCAUUGGGUCUGCCUACCAGAUAAGCCACAACAAGGUGAAAGUGAGCUGCAUCAAGAUUCUGAUGCCCAGAGCACACAGUUCAGUUUCUGCUGCUUCUUUGUUCAACUAGAGGCUAUAUAA
rnacentral:lncRNA from 1 species